rnacentral:ncRNA from 1 species
UCUAUAUGGAUAUAUCCCUUAGCUAAGGAUUGAUUCGGAGUUCAUAUAGAAAAACCAAAUAGUGUCAGCGGUCUUACCGAAUAAGGCAGCUACAAGUAAAAAUGAAGGAAUUUCUUCAUAUAAGCUUGUGGUCUUUUAAUUGUGCCUUAUUUUAGCUGAAAG